rnacentral:misc_RNA from 1 species
AAGUCGUAACAAGGUCUCCGUUGGUGAACCAGCGGAGGGAUCAUUACAAGAAGCCGAAAGGCUGCUUAAAACCAUCGCGAACCUAUCCAUCAGCGUUGCUUCGGCGGGAGGAGGCCGCGGGGCCGGGGACCCGCACCCUCUCGGGGGUGCGGGGCCCGCCCGCCGGAGGUAUGAAACUCUUCUGCAUCUAUAGUGGAAUCUCUGAGUAAGCAAGCAAAUAAGUCAAAACUUUCAACAACGGAUCUCUUGGUUCUG